rnacentral:lncRNA from 1 species
GUUGCCUCUACGUGUGUGCUGCUCUCAGAGAGAGAAGCCAAGCUUGUCAGGGCUUGGAAUUUAUACAAUUAAGAGGAUGCCUUGACAAAUGGAUGGAACUAGAAGAAACCAUCCUGAAUGAGGUAACCCAGUCACAAAAAGACAAACAUGUCAUUUGUCUAGUGUCCACAACAACCUUGGGAGUUAGGAACAGUAUUUUGAAGAUGGAGCAACACAAGGGAGAGGGUCACAUAACUCACCCAAAGUCACAGGAGCUGGAAGUCAACCGCUUUUUCUUAAGUGUAAAUCACCUGAUGAGGAAGAACCAGAGCUAAUGUUACCCUCCACCCAACAUGGUUACUAUGUGUCAAGAACUGUGCCAAAGUAUACAGGUUUUAAUUUAAUCACAUGAGCCCUGUGA